GAUGAAGAACGCAGUGAAAUGCGAUAAUUAAUGUGAAUUGCGGAAUUCAGUGAAUCAUCGAGUCUUUGAACGCACAUUGCGCCCCCUGGUAUUCCGGGGGGCAUGCCUGUCCGAGCGUCAUUGCUGCCCUCAAGCACGGCUUGUGUGUUGGGCUUCCGUCCCUGGCAACGGGGACGGGCCCAAAAGGCAGUGGCGGCACCAUGUCUGGUCCUCGAGCGUAUGGGGCUUUGUCACCCGCUCCCGUAGGUCCAGCUGGCAGCUAGCCUCGCAACCAAUCUUUUUAACCAGGUUGACCUCGGAUCAGGUAGGGAUACCCGCUGAACUUAAGCAUAUCAAUAAGCGGAGGA
rnacentral:misc_RNA from 1 species